GCACUCAGCUCUCACCUGCAUGUACCAGGCCCUUUCCAGACUAAACUGACUAGGCCUGAGCAUCUCCAGCUGGACCUGAGCUGCGUCUCUCUGAUCCUCUGCCGAUCCCCUGCUGUGGGUCACCCUAAGCUCAGCUUUGUCUUUGCCACAGGGGUCCGUUCUCUUGGCUGUAUUUGAGGAAAAGGGGGGUGUUGGGGGACUGUCGUCUGUCCCCUUCUAAAUGGAGGCACCCUCUCCUCUGAAAGGCUGCUGUGCGCUCCUGGGAAAUGGGCUGCAGGUGCGUGGGCCUCAGGGCAGCGGGAGGGGGCGGGGCCGGGCGGGUCUCCUCCCCCCGCGGCCGUGACCCCGCCCUCCAGGCUGUAGGCGGGCAUCUCCAGCUUCGAGAGGCUUGGAGGCGGUGGAGGAAGCGCCGCCAACGUGCGAAGAAAAAGCAUUUGCAGUUUUGAAACUUCCAGGAUGGACUGAGAAGAGGGAGUGACUGAAUGGACAGUUGGCAGUCAUCAUUGUAAGCCCUCUUGUCAAUAAGCCUCUUAAAGGUGGAGACAAAGAUGUCUUUGUGUCCUUGGACCUAAGACGAGGUCUGGUCCACAAUAACUAGUAGUUUAUUAAGCCGGCCAACCCCUACACCAGGGCCUUAGGUUUCUGGUGGAAAGUCACAGAUGAUCCUGGUUUAGGAUGGCUUAGGUUGAGGAUGCAUUCCCAGAGCCACCAAUAACUUUCUAUGUAGAAUAGUCUUACCUGCUUUCAGCUUAAUCCAGUUCAGCAUUACUUGAGCACCUAUUUAUGCAAGUUAUUUUGAACAUCUUAACAUGAGAAUUAAGUAUUACAAGAAAAUCUCUUUGAAAUACAAAUUAAAUACUCUUAUCAAUAACAUGUCAUAUCACUGCAGGCCUGUCCAGUUCUCCCUCACAGAUGACCCAGGUUCCUCUUCGGGUCCCCAGCCGAUACUCGGCCCUGACUGAGCAGAGGGGUCCAUUGAUUUGCUUGGCCCUUCCUCUUGCUCUGAGGAUAUUCAUAAUUGUGCCAAGCCUCAGCUCCCUGAAUGCCAUCUGAGCUCCUGACCUUUGCGUAUUUUCUCUCUGUCACCAUGUUCUGCACUAAAGCCAUAAAAGGGGAGAUGCUAUUUGCUCUGAUUUUGUAGCUCUGAUUUUCUUCCCGCCUGAUGCUUACCUUUCAUUUGACAUUUUACAGAAAAGAGAAAAGAAAGGGAUCUAGAUUUCUUGAAGGGAUCAAACCCUUUUGUCAUUGGAACGCCCCUUUAUAAUGUCAACAUUUUAAAACUAUCAAACUAAACAGGGCAGAUUUUAAGCACGCUUACAGAUUAGGAUCAUUGCGGUCUGUGGCAGCUGAAUGUCGGCACUAGAUAAUGCCCACAUUCAUCAAAAAGGCCAACUAAGAAUUGAAAGGAUGCGGGAACUCCUCGGGUCCCUAACAUCCAGGAGGUGA
rnacentral:lncRNA from 1 species